AGCCGCUGACCCCGGCCCCGUACCGUAGCCGCGUAGCCGUAGCCCACGGGCGACGGGUGGUAGUGGUAGGCGUACGGGCUGGCCGGCGCCGCGGCGUAGCUGUUGUACUGCCACUGGUGGUGGUGGUGGGGGGUGCUGUACGGCGACCGCGCCGCCGCCAUGGCCGCCACCUCCUGCUUGGUCCCCGGGAGCGGGAGCGCCGCCGGCUCGAAGGUGUCGUGCGUCCGCAGCUCCACGAUCUCCGCCUCGCCCACCUUCUUCUUGAGCUUCUUCACCAGCUUGUUCGAGUCCACGCCGGUGCCGAUCACCAGCAGGAGGCUCUUGUCGCCGCCGGCCAGCGA
rnacentral:lncRNA from 1 species